rnacentral:lncRNA from 1 species
CCUUAUGACCAAAUUGAAAAUGCUAAAAAUCCUCACCAUAAUCUCUAAAAUUCUACCAUUAACAACAAAUUAAUAGAAGUAGAAAAAUAAGAAAAACUAAGAUGCAUAAGAUCAGUAAAAUAUCAGCAAAAACUAUUAAACAUAAAAUUUACAAAAUAUCUGCAACAUAUUUUGACUAAUUCUUGAAUCAAUAUUCAACAAAGAUACGAUUCUUUCGCACGACCCCCUUCCUUUUCAGCAUCCGUUCUUUCUUCUUCUGUUGAUUACUUUUUCCUCUUCAGCUCGGUUUUUUUCCCUCUUCAGAGGCAUACAUUCCUCUUUUUGCUUCUGCCAUUUCUUUUUUUCUUUUGAUGUGGCUUCUGGAAUGGGCUAUUAUAGAUUUGGGCGUGGACUUCUAUGAUAUGGGCUUUUGACUUCUUCUUCUUCUCUUUUCAACUUCUUUUUCCUCUUUUCUUCAACAAU